rnacentral:lncRNA from 1 species
AGGAACACCUCUGCUAAACUCAGCUUGCCCACUCAUAGCAGGGAAUAAUUAGGAUCUUCUAAAUCUUCAGAUGAUAUACACACACACACACACACACACACACACACACACACACACACACACUGGCUGAAGCCACUUGCCCCGAGCGGGGUCACGGCGAACCGGAGCCUAACCCACCAACACAGGACGUAAGGCUGGAGGGGGAGGGGACACACCCAGGAUGGACACCAGUCCAUCACAAGGCACACCAAGCAGGACUUGAACCCCAGACCCAGCAGAGAGUGGAACCCACCCAAACCCGCUGCACCACUGCACUCCCCCCAGAUGAUAUACCAAACACCUUACAGAUGAACUGAGCUAUGUAUUUUGUGAGUUAUACACAAAUACACGGGAGAAAAUUAUGGUUGCUUGACAAUGGAGGAACACAUCACAGUGCACGAAUUACUACAUUACUACUACUGUAUAUAUUAUUUUGGGGAACAACAAUGUUCUUCAUUUUCAAUCUUGUUUAUAGAGAAUUUAUCAAAUAAAAGGACAAAAUGCAUUAUUGUGCAGUUAACUGUCAGCUUAUGUGUUGUUUUAGUUCAAGAGACUUACACAGAACUUUACAAAUUCAUUGGAAUUGGAGCUGGACUGGUGCUGAUUGUAAUGGUGAUCAUCACACUCAUUUGUUACUUUAGGGCAAAGAACAAAGUGCUACAAGAUGUAGACACUGUGUAUGCUGAAAUAGAAGAGCUGAACUAUGAAGACCAUCAGAAGGUCAGGGAACAAUUUUAGCUUUGACAGUAUUGAUUGUACUUUUAUAUAAAAAGCAUGAUUACUUAUGAUUGCACCAAAAAUUAGGCCUUAAUAUUAUCAAUAUUAUUAUGUUGACAAAAAAUGUGUUUUUUCAGAAUGUGCAUGUGUUUAAAAAGAAACCACCAGUUUUGUGAUGAAUGUGUCCUAAUACUGCAUAUUCUGAGGGAAAUGCCUUUAAUAUUUGUUACAUAUUUUGAAAUAACAUGCAAUCUCUCUUUUGUUUCCCAGAACAUUAUGUGUAGCAAGUCAGCUACCGGCAACACUACCACCUGUUAUGAUACUUUGCAAAGUACAGCUGUAAGUUUAUCCCAAAAAGUUGUAAACAUACAUACACUGGCGACACCAAAAUUAAACAUCUUAGAUAAGAAUGUCUAUUUUUCUACUCAGAGUUAUGCUUAAAGCAACAUGAUGAGUAUGCUUCAUCAAAAGCAAUUUGUGUGCAAAUAUUUAUGUUUAGUCUUCAAAUCUGAUAUAUUUCAAAGCUGAUGUUUUAUUUGUCAUUCUAAUAUUCCCUCUGAUACAGGUUAUCCCUACUGGUCCUUUCACUCUUUAUGACACAGUGAACUUCACUCGUCCCAUUACCACCAAAAAUGUAUGAGAAAAUUCUCUGAGGUUCCAAGAUCCUCUUCGCUACUGAAAGUGUCAACAAUGCAUCUAAGUAACAUACUUUGUCUUUUUCAUAUAUAUACAUAUGAGACACAGGCUGCUUAAUGUGUGAAAUUAUGUGUUAGUUAUUAAGUACACAUUAGGCUUCCGUAUGAAGUGAAAAUGUAUGGGGUUGUUAUAUGUGAUAAGAAAACCAUGGUCAACGAUGUAACCAACAGCACAGUAUUUUGUUUUGUGUUAACUUAAUCACCAUUAAAAUUAGUCAUUUGAGCUUGUAUGAUUUUUUUAUGUUUCAGACACUUAAAUUAUGCUUAAUGUUUAGAAGCAUUAAUACAAACAUUUUAAUCUAUAGUCUUUGUGCCUCAAUCAGUAU